CAGGGGCAGAAUUGGAAACUUUACAUCCAUGCACUCCUUGAAGUUUAUACUAGCUAUGCACCAUUAAUCUACCAAUUUGAGCACUAAACCAAUAUUAAAUCCAUCAUCAAAUAUCACAUCAGCCAUCAAUCUAAGAGUGGGAGUUGAUAGAGCCCACAUUCAAAAUUUUGCAACAAUAACAAGCCACCCACAUGAAUAUCUAAGCUCAUAAGUGUAAAUCAACUUCCAUAGGCCAAGAAUUUGAGGGUUGAUCGUCACGUACUUGUGUUGGUGAACAAGGGCAGAAUUUUGGCCCUCUCUUAGCUCAAGAAAACCGUGAAAAGCUCCCCCUUUUGUAGUUUAAGAUGAUCUCAAAGUAUUAAGCUAAGUUUGUGUGAAAUUUGGAAGGAAUUGGAGAUGAUUUGUGCAAGAUUUAGAGAUGAAAAAUGAAGAACUCCUUGGGUUAUUUUUGCAGCUGAUGGCCGGCCACUUUGUGAGGAAGAGAGAGAGUGUUUUGAUCUAAUUUGCCUUCCUAAGGAAGCUUCAUUUGUGUGGCUAGAAUUGGUGCUGUAGACACCAAAAAUUUUAGUGUUUUCAGUUUGUUAGUUUUAUUCACCUUUUUAGUUUUUAGUUUUUUAGUUUUUCAUGUUUUAGCAUAGAUUUUCUCAAAAAGCAAAAAAAAAAGAGAAAAAAAGA
rnacentral:lncRNA from 1 species